rnacentral:rRNA from 1 species
CCCUUAGAUGUUCUGGGCCGCACGCGCGCUACACUGAUGCAUUCAACGAGUCUAAAACCUGGUCUGAUAGGGCUGGGUAAUCUUUUGAAAGUGCAUCGUGAUUGGGAUAGAUGAUUGCAAUUCUUCAUCUUCAACGAGGAAUGCCUAGUAAACGUAAGUCAUCAGCUUGCAUUGAUUACGUCCCUGCCCUUUGUACACACCGCCCGUCGCUCCUACCGAUUGAAUGAUCCGAUGAAUACCAUGGAUUGAGAGUACGAAUGGGUUCGCUCAUUUCUGCUGCUCGAGAAGUGGAGUAAAUCUUAUCAUUUAGAGGAAGGAGAAGUCGUAACA